CCAUGAAUAUGUUUAGUAUUA
rnacentral:snRNA from 1 species